rnacentral:rRNA from 1 species
GACGAACGCUGGCGGCGUGCCUAAUACAUGCAAGUUGAGCGCUGAAGGGUGGUACUUGUACCUACUGGGUUAGCAGCGGACGGGUGAGUAACGCGUGGGGAAUCUACCUUUGAGCGUGGGACAACUUUUGGAAACGGAUGCUAAUACCGCAUAAAAACUUUAAACACAUGGUUUAAGUUUGAAAGAUGCACUUGCUUCACCCAAAGAUUAUCCCGCGUUGUCUUAGCUAGGUGGUUAGGUAAAGGCUCAACAAGGCGAUGAUACAUAGCCGACCUGAGAGGGUGAGCCGGCAAAUUGGGACUGAGAAACGGCCCCAAAUCCUACGGGAGGCAGCAGUAGGGAAUCCUCGGCAAUUGACGAAAGGCUGACCGAGCCACGCCGCGUGAGGGAAGAAGGUUUUCGGAUCGGAAAACUCUGGUGGUAGAGAAGAACGUUGGGGAGAGGGGAAAGCUCAUCAAGUGACGGUACCUAACCAGAAAGGGACGGCUAACUACGUG